rnacentral:rRNA from 1 species
AUGUAUACUUGGUGUAGCUGGAAUCAACCCUGGCUGUGCCGUAGCUAACGCGAUAAGUAUACCGCCUGGGGAGUACGCUCGCAAGGGUGAAACUCAAAAGAAUUGACGGGGACCCGCACAAGCAGUGGAGCAUGUGGUUUAAUUCGAUGCAACGCGAAGAACCUUACCCAGACUUGACAUACAGUGGAAUAUGGUAGAAAUAUCAUAGCCCUUCGGGGCCGCUGAACAGGUGCUGCAUGGCUGUCGUCAG